ACUCCUCUGAGGUCAAGAUUUCAAGGCAUUCCAUUCUGGGUAUCCCACAGAUAGCAUUUUAUACAGCAAUGAUUCUGCAAACUACAAUAUGGUCCUUAAAUGAAUCUGCCAGUUUGAUAUUACUCUAUGAAAGAGGAAGAGAAGGGAGAGAAAAAGAAUGUUUAUAAUAAGAGGCGAUAAUCAUAUAAGACCAAAUGAUAUCAUGACAUCUGCAUGAAUGAAGGUGUGGCAUAGUUAAACUGGAGAAAAGUGACGAAGGAAUUAUAUCACCAUAGAGCACCCAUAUUCACCAUAAUCAUCAGGCAUGCUUAGAUCAGUAUUGACACACAAAUACUCAUGAAAACAUUCAUGUGUUGAGACUGGAUUUGGUUUCAGCAGAGCAAAAUCAUCUGUUGUAUUAAAUUAAGAUUGUAAAUUUGGAUAUUUUGUCAUAUUUUUAUUUGAUUUCUAUUUUUUUAUUUUGUAUUUACACAAAAGCUAUAAGCAUAUGGGAUUUUACAAUUAGUCUGAUGUUAACAUAUUUGAGUAAAAUUAUGCCACAAGUGAACUUAAUCUGUGCUAGGAAAUCUUUAAAAAUGAUCUAUAUGUUAUUCACGUAUGAGAAACACUGGCAUAUCCUAGUCAUAGGAUAUGUACUGAAUAAAUAUUAUUGAACUUA